CUUGUUGUGUUUGAAUGAUGCGUACAACAUAAUAUGGAGAUUGUGGUCGACGUUGCCGUGUGUGUGAAAUAAAAAUUGUGCAACGCUGCCGCUUGUGUAUUGAAUUCUGAAUUGAAAACCGCUUAGCGUGUUUUUAUAAAGGUGCAUAUUUGUUGUCGUUGUUGUUGCUAAUCGUUUUUUAUCAACAGCAUGAUGAUGUUGUGUUUUUUCCAUGAACACCAGUGCUAUUGUUGUUGUUGUUGUAAUGCAAUCAGUGUGUGAUGAACAACGCAAUUUUAUGGUGAAGUGCUGUUAAUAAUUUUGUGAGUGGAGGCAGAAACAGUGACAAUAAUAUCAAAAUGUGCCUUUAUACACGGUUUCAUUGCAAAUGUUGUUGCUCUGUGAAACGUUUAUUUUUCGAUUUUGUAAAGUGUGACGUGUGAUCGAAAAAUGAACGUAACAGUUGGCAGUGUACCGUGUGUGUGUGGUGUUAAUGUUGAGUGAUGUUUUCGGAAAUGUCGACCUCAGAUCAGACGAGAUUACCCGCUAAAUUUAAGCAUAUCAAUAAGCGGUGGAAAAGAAACGAAAACGAAUUCUCCUAGUAGCGGCGAGCGAAACGAGAAAAGUCCAUACACCGAAGUCGGCGAGCAGUUGUGUUCGUCAACAGUGUGGUGUUAAAGGUGUCGUUGCAUGUGCUGACAUGAGUUCGUAGGCUCCCUUGAUUGGGGCUUCAGAGCGGGUGCAGGACCCAUAACGAACGGUGUUUUGUGCAUGGCGUCGCGGCUCCUAAUCGAGUCGGGUUGCUUGAGACUGCAGCCCAAAGCGGGUGGUAAAUUUCACCCAAGACUAAAUAUUCGUACGAGACCGAUAGCGAACAAGUACCGCGAGGGAAAGUUGAAAAGAACUCUGAAGAGAGAGUUCAACAGGACGUGAAACCGUUGACAGGCAAACGGAUGGAGCUGACGGUGCAAUUUUGACCAAAAUCAGUCGUCGCUGGGUUCGUUGGCGAAUGAAUCUUUUGCAAACUUCUUGUUUGUGUUGUGUAGAUUAUCUUUCGUUUCGAAUCUACGCACGGUGCACUUUUGGUCGAUCAGCGUCACGAGCAACGUUCGCAAAUGUUUUUGCUGCCGACAGUAAUUCUGUUUGUUGUUUUUUAAAUGCAACAAACAAUAAACGCGGCUUGUGGAAGAUGUAAUUGUGUGAUAAAAAGUUUUGUCUCAAUUGCCGUGCCAUUGCCGCAUCUGUCGGAUGAAUGUUGUUGUUGACAAGUUGAAAAGCAUUGUUUUUUGCGUUCAAUUGUGUAAUGGGUCUGUUGGUGCCGUUGCGUUCGUGGGUUUCGGUUCACGAUUUGUCUGGUAGGUCGGGAAAAAAAUCAAUUAUGAAUAUAAUUGAUCUGACUACCGUGCGUAACGGUAUUCAAAUGUGUGUUUGAUGGACUUUAUUUGCAAUGGGCGCUCAAUGUGUUUUCUUAUAUCGGUGGCGUCAAUGUUAGCCUCCCAUCCGACCCGUCUUGAAACACGGACCAAGGAGUUCAGUAGGCACGCGAGUCGUUGACGUUUUUCAUUGAACAGUCGAAGGCGAAAUGAAAGUGUUCAUGAAAAUGAACUGUACUCUUUUUUAUGGAGUGCUGUUCAAUUUCAACAUGAUCGUCCUUUUUUUGCGCUUGUGGUGCAAAAUAGUAGAUGUAUGGGGACGCGCAGUGUGGUGCCGUUGAAUAGUCGCACUGUUCUCUCUUUCUCUUCGGGGUUGGAGGAACAAUUGUCGAUCAGUCGGUUUCGGAGCGUGCACACUGGUACCCGAAAGAUGGUGAACUAUGCUUGAGCAGAAUGAAGCCAGAGGAAACUCUGGUGGAAGUUCGUAGCGGUGUUGACGUGCAAAUCACUCGUCUGACUUGAGUGUAGGGGCGAAAGACUAAUCGAACCAUCUAGUUGCUGGUUCCUUCCGAAGUUUCCCUCAGGAUAGCUGGCAUUUGUUUGUAACAAUUUUAUCCGGUAGAGCGAAUGAUUAGAGGUGUUGGGAACGCAAUGUUCUCAGCCUAUUCUCAAACUUCGAAUGGGUAAGCAAGGCGUUUUGCUUUGAUUUUACGAUGAAAUCGCCCAAUUAGAAGAAUGUAUAAAUGCCUAGUGGGCCAAUUUUGGUAAGCAGAACUGGCGAUGUGGAAUGAACCAAAAGUCAGGUUAAGGUGCCAGACAUUGGCGCUCAUGAAAUACCAGAAAAGGUGUUGGUCGAUAUAGACAGCAGGACGGUGGCCAUGGAAGUUGGAAUCCGCCAAGGAGUGUGUAACAACUCACCUGCCGAAUCGACUAGCCCUGAAAAUGGAUAGCGUUUGAGCUCCAGGCCCAUACCUGACCGUCUCAAUUACGCACCCUUUUUUCGGAAAAGGUGUAAUGCACGUUGAGACGGGUAGGAAGGUCGCGACAGUGUUGCUUUGAAGAGUUUUGAGCGUGAGCUCGCUCGGAGCCGCUGUCGGUGCAGAUCUUGGUGGUAGUAGCAAAUAUUCAAGUGAGAACCUUGAAGGCUGAAGUGGAGCAAGGUUCCAUGUGAACAGCAGUUGGACAUGGGUCAGUCGAUCCUAAGAAAACGGCGAAAGCUUUUUCGAAUUUGCGACAUGAAUUGUAAGACUGUGAAUAAUUGUGUGCGUGUGUUUGCCAAUUAUUAAUUGUUGUGCGCAGUUGUCGUAUGUUUUCGAAAGGGAAUCCGGUUGAUAUUCCGGAACCGAGUAACGGAGACAAAGAGUAGCGCUUUAAUCUCUCUCUCUCUGUGGGGUUGGCGUUCAACUCAAUCGCGCGGUAACGCAAGCGAACUCGGAAAAUGACCGUCGUGAGUUUCGAAAAGAGUUUUCUUUUCUUUUUAAGGGACGCAUUCCCUGGAACCGGGUUGUCCGGAGAUAGGGAUUUUGGUAUCCAUAAAACGCCGACUUUUUCACGGUGUUCGGAGCGCUCUCGUCGGUACGUGAAAAUCCGAGCGACGCCUGGUAAAUCUCGUACUUGGUCGUACUGAUAUCCGCAGCAGGUCUCCAAGGUGAAUAGCCUCUGGCCGAUAGAAUAAUGUAGGUAAGGGAAGUCGGCAAAACGGAUCCGUAACUUCGGAACAAGGAUUGGCUCUAAGGGCUGGGCCGAUCGGGCUGAGGUUUCAAGCGUGCAGUGUAUGCUUGGCUUAGUUGUGUUGAGGACUUGUUCACUUGCCACCGUUUGUUCGGUUGGUCGAGUGUAUUCGAGUCUGAAGCAGAGCUGGCCGUCAGACCGGCACGUGUAGAACCUGAGCUGCGCGGCUGUCCGUUUUCGUGUACAGACCGUUUCGGUCGGCAUUCAACAGCCAACUUAGAACUGGCACGGACACAAGGAAUCUGACUGUAUAAUUAAAACAAAGCAUUGCGAUGGCCGAUGAUCGGUGAUGACGCAAUGUGAUUUCUGCCCAGUGCUCUGAAUGUCAAAGUGAAGAAAUUCAAUCAAGCGCGGGUAAACGGCGGGAGUAACUAUGACUCUCUUAUUUCAACUCCAGUCCAGAUUCGUUCUUCAACUCCGGUCAAAAUCUGAAACGCAGAAAUGUGUAGGUUUAGCCGGAAGCAUGGAUUCUAACGUACCGGUCUAUGACACAAUGUCAUCUGUCGUAUCGGAGGUCACUAUUACGU
rfam:Trichinella nelsoni scaffold226s, whole genome shotgun sequence.